AUUAAACACUUAAACCCCUCCGCCUCACCCCCAAAACGCCAUGCGACACCUUUUUUCACGGCAGCGCCACCACAAUCUCCACUGUCACAACCCACCGGAACUUCUAAUUCUCUUCCGUCAACUAACAAAAUCUCAUUUUGAAGAUGACCCACCUUUCUCCCCAAUCAAAAAACCCCAAACCAAACUACCCCAGAAAACCAAAACCAACAAAAAACAAGAAAAACCCAAAUCCAACUUCCCUAUACGGUCUGAUUUGCCAUUUGAUUUCAUGUACUCUUAUUCUGAAAUCAACCCAAAAGUUGACCCAAUUGGGUAUAGGGAAACACCCAAGUUUUCGCCUUUUGGGCCGGGCCGACUUGACCGGAAAUGGACCGGUACUGUAGCUCCAGUCCAAAAGGCUGUAGAUAUAGAAAAAGUUGAAAAAAACAAGAAUGUGGUUCUUGGGGAACCUUUGUUGGAAGAUGAAGUGUUGGAACUUGUUGAAAGAUAUAGACAUAGUGAUUGUUGUCGCCAAAUUAAUCUGGGGAAAGGUGGAGUUACUCAUAACAUGAUAGAUGACAUCCAUAACCAUUGGAAGAAGGCUGAAGCUGUGAGGAUCAAGUGUUUAGGAGUCCCAACUCUUGACAUGGACAAUGUUUGUUUCCAUCUUGAGGAUAAGUCAGGCGGCAAAAUUAUAUAUCGGCAGAUUAAUAUCUUGUUACUGUAUCGAGGACGAUAUUAUGACCCUAAAAAUAGACCUGUUGUUCCUUUAAUGCUCUGGAAGCCAUAUCCACCAAUUUAUCCAAAGCUUAUAAAGAAUAUUGCCGAUGGGUUGACGUUUGAAGAAACAAAGGAAAUGAGAAACCGUGGACUCAACUCUCCUCCGUUAAUAAAACUAAGUAUCCAAAAUAACAACAAAUAUAGGGAAUUUAUGUCAUUUGUCGUCCCCAAAUUGGUGUCAUCAAGUCUUCGUAGACAGUCGGAUCAAGUAAUGUUGACUGUUGAGUCAAGGAGGUGAUUGGGUGUGCAAUUUUUAAGAUGAUUAUAAUGACUUAAAGAAUCAGAUUGAAUAAUCAGAUAAGCAUGUGAUACCUUUUUUGCAUUUAUCUCAAGAGUCUUUUUUGAUACAUCAACUUCUUACGUUGUAUCUCUAAGUUUGAUUAUUUUAUAUUGUAAAAUAACCAGAAGAUCUCAAUUAUGAUUAGGGUUUGUCAAAUACUCUAGAUUGAUUAUGGUGUCUUCAAGUUAUAAUCAACUAAUAACCAAUUUAAAAGCUCAUGGCUCAUGCAAACCCACCUUAGAAGGUUAUGGAAAAAAGGAGAUUUUGGCCACUUUUACAGGAAACUCAUAAAGAAAUUGCUUCAAUUUCUAUGGGAUAGAUUGUAAUAUGUUUCAUUAGCGAGGAAUGGUGUGUACACUAACGUGAUAGAGAAAGUGAGGGAGGCCUUUAAAACUGAAGAAGUAUUGAGGCUUGAUUGUGCCCAU